GGGGAAUGAACCAUUAUAACAGGGAGUUAUGUGGCAAGAUGAAGUGAGGGGGAGCAUUGGAGCUGAGAAACGGAAAGAAUCAUCCGACAGGGAACGCUGGUGGAAUGAUGGGGAACCUGAAGGCAAAGGCAAAACAAGAGAAUCCUUUUGUCCACUACAUCGUGUUUGCUGAAGGACCAUGUCUGCCCAGCAACAGUGUGGUUUAGGGGACAUCCAAUGCCCUUGUAUCCCAUCCGCUUGCAAAUUAAGAGCUGUCACGUUUCAAACGUUUCCCCCCGGACUCGUGUUUAUCACCGCGACUCUCGCUCAUCCGCCGGGCCGCUCUCCAGUGCUGAAACACCGGGCGCAGCUGUCGCUCCGUCCCCUGUCCUAAUGAAGGAGGCCGACGCUAUCAAGCUCUUCAUUGGCCAGAUCCCACGGAAUCUGGAGGAGAAGGACCUGAAGCCCAUCUUCGAGCAGUUUGGGAAGAUCUACGAGCUCACGGUGAUCAAGGACAAGUACACGGGGAUGCACAAAGGUUGUGCAUUUCUGACGUACUGUGCGAGAGAGUCAGCCUUGAAGGCCCAGAAUGCAUUGCACGAGCAGAAGACAUUGCCAGGGAUGAACCGCCCCAUUCAAGUAAAGCCAGCGGACAGUGAGGGACGAGGAGACAGGAAGCUGUUCGUGGGCAUGUUGGGGAAGCAGCUGUCAGACACUGAUGUCAGAAAGAUGUUCGAACCUUUUGGGAGUAUAGAAGAGUGCACAGUGCUCAGAGGGCCUGACGGAGCAAGCAAAGGUUGCGCGUUCGUAAAAUAUCAGAAUAACGCAGAGGCACAGGCGGCCAUUAGCGCGCUACAUGGAAGUCGCACUCUUCCGGGUGCUUCCUCUAGUCUGGUGGUUAAGUUUGCCGAUACAGAAAAGGAGAGAGGAAUCAGGCGCAUGCAGCAGGUGGCCUCGCAGCUGGGUGUCAUCAGUCCCAUGAGUCUACACCUGGGCGCCUACAACGCUUACACACAAGCACUUGUCCAGCAGCAGGCAUUGGUGGCUCAAUCUGCAUAUCUGUCGCCCGUGGCGACGGUUGCUGCGGUGCAGAUGCAACAAUUGGCUGCCCUCAAUCCCAACAGCAUCAUAGCAACGCCCAUCGCCUCAAUCACACCGUCCUCAGGUACGAGCACCCCGCCAACAAUGGCUGCCACGCCUGUGUCUGCUCUUCCUCCACCUAUCGCAGUCAACAGUUACACCCCAGUCCCUGCACCGCCCAAUGGCCAGUCUGCCUCUGAAGCCCUUUACACCAAUGGUGUCCACCCAUAUCAGGUCGUUUGUUUUAAUUCUUUAGCUCAGAGCCCUGCGUUGGAUCCACUUCAGCAGGCGUAUACAGGCAUGCAACACUACACGGCUACAUAUCCUGCUGCUUACGGAUUGGUCGGUCAGCUAUUUCCUCAUCAGCCCACCUUGGUUGCCCAGCAACCCCAGCAGCCACAGCAGUUGCAACAACGGGAAGGUCCUGAAGGGUGCAAUAUCUUUAUUUAUCAUCUGCCUCAAGAGUUCACAGACUCAGAGAUGCUCCAGAUGUUUCUACCCUUCGGUAACGUCAUCUCAGCUAAGGUCUUUGUCGACCGAGCCACUAACCAGAGCAAAUGCUUUGGAUUUGUGAGCUUCGACAACCCGGCAAGCGCCCAGGCGGCCAUCCAGGCCAUGAACGGCUUUCAAAUCGGCAUGAAGAGGCUUAAAGUUCAGCUGAAGAGGCCUAAAGAUGCUAACCGUCCAUAUUGAGAAGAACAGGCUGCCCUGUCCAAUCAUAACUCGGGUGGAGACAACGUCGCUAUGGCUACGGUGGCCUAGCAACCAAUAAAGCUCCCCCUUCCUCCCACAGCGUUGGUUUGCAAGAAAGGAGAAGUCAAAUGAAGUUACUUGCGAGUCACUUUUCCUCCACUGCAAAUUAUGGGACCAACAACUUUCGCAAAACUGCAGUAUAAAAAAGCCUUCCAAGAUUAUUUAAAUGAAAAAUAUACAUUUAAUAGAGACAGACUUAUCGCACAAGGUGCAGGUUAAAUGUAAAAAAAAAAAAUUGUACUACCUUAACAGUAUACGAUAUAGGACCAAUAAUUUUCUGCGCAAGUUGGAUAUUCUGCACAGCCAGCCGGUAAACGCUAGUUAAAGCGCCAGCGACGCAAUGCCACUCGCUCUACUGCUUCACACACUAUUGUGCCGUGUGCUCGUGGCUCUUGUGACCUUUCUGCCCGGAGCCCACACAUCAACGCCCUGCACACACAAAGGGGACCAACCAACACAAAUAUGUCAGUACUACACAACUUUUGUUUCGGGGUACAAAAAAAUGAUGUGCGCUACUUACAGACUAUUCAAAGUCUUUUUUUGCAGCAAUCUCAAAUGUGUACAUAGAAUUUCAAGGGGACCAUGUGUAGACAUAUCGAAACGGUUGGGAGGGUGGGACUGGUGGGUCAAUGUGAUCGGAGCAAAGAAUCAUGGGUAUGAUAGCUAGAGAAAGAUUUGUGAAGACACUGCUCUUGGUCUCUAAUCUGAGUCCAGUUAUAAAUAGUUCAUCUUUAUUACUUAUGAAAACGAAAGAUCUGUGAUAUUGGAUAAUGGGCCUAUAUUGCAAAUCUCCCUAAAAUAAGUGGAUAUAGUUUAUUGCAGAAAGACUGUAGUUAGCCUUUUUUUAUUUUUAGGUUUGUUAGGUUUUUUCUUUUUGUUGUUUUUAAUUGUGGAUGAUUCGAAAAGAUUCAUGAAAGUUAAAAAUGUAUUUCAUUGUAUAUAUCAUGCUUUUAAAAUGAAGGUCAAGAUUUAAACAUUCGGGAUAUUAUUGUUAUUAUUAUUAUUAAUUAUAAUUAUUAUUACUAUUAUUAUUAUUAUUUAGGGAAGGUGAUUUCUAUUUUUUUUUAUUUAUUUAUCAAUUUCUUGAUGGAGAGCAUUUUUUAAAUUAUUUAUGAUAAGAUAGAGGAUCGUUGGCUCAUGUGCCGAUGAAUCCAUGUAUUUUUAGACAUUUUAUUUACAGAAUUACCAUUAAUGAACAAUCAUUAUUAUUCUAUUUAUUUUCUUCAAUUGUUGUUUCACAACCUGUCAAUUACAAAAAAUUUGAAUAAAAUUUUAAACAAUAUUUA